rnacentral:lncRNA from 1 species
CGCUCAAUUCUCUGAAGAUAUCUUAUUGGCGACGUUUUAUAGACGUGUAAUUACGAAUUAUACGUGGCAAUAAAUACCGUGUAUAUACGCGUAUAAUAAUACCGAGAAUCACGUUUACGUGAGGAUCGAGGAAUCGCUUCAAUUUUAUUACCGGGGACGAUCACGAGUCGCCGAUCUUCUCUGUCGCGCGUACGCUAGGUGCACGGCAUUUAUUUGAUUUCGAUUUUUCCCUCCCCCCCGCCGCACCGAACCCCUUAUUAAAAUCGUCAAACUUUUCAAAGUUACAUACGACGCACGAUACGAGAGAGUGCCACGUACGACGAGACUUUAUCGGUGUGAAAAUGAUUCGGUAUUCCGAUCGUAUCCCCCAAUAGAUCUGGACGUUGUAUAUGAUAAUGGCUCGGCGCGGUGCUCCCGGUUCCAAAGGAAUAUAUAUCGCGGGCUACAUCGAAUUCCGCAGCUGUUGGAAUAACGUAUUGUCUCGUUACCUGUACGUAUCGCGUAUAUUGCGAUGAUGCGGUGCGAUUAAAAUCAUGGUAUUAUUACACGUGAGGUAUAACAAUUCUCUCACGUGGGGUCGGUCGUCAUCGUCCGUCGUACCUAUUCCUCGGGUAGAGGUACACGUCUCCACGCGUUUAUCCGUUUGUACGUAUCACCUCAUCAAGAUGAUCGCGAUCUACGAUUAUAACAUAAGAACUAACCGCAGCAGCAGCGAGGCGAGUUAACAAUAAGAACGAGAAGAAGAGGAAGAUAGAGAAGGAGACGAAGACGAGGGGGAAAAAGAGGAGCGGUAAACAUGGCGAGCAUAGGUGUGAUACGGUUGCAUACAACGGAGGUAUAUGCGAGAGCAAAUGUGCAGCGUCGGCCGCAAAUGCCGCAUCGCGUCGUCCUGCCGCAGCGGCGUUAUACGUCGUCGAGAGCAACGCCAUUAAAAUUUAUUCCUUUUCCUUAAGCCGUAUGCAAU